rnacentral:rRNA from 1 species
AGAGUUUGAUCAGUGGCUCAGGACGAACGCUGGCGGCGCGCUUAACACAUGCAAGUCGAGCGAUGAAACUUUAACAGAACCCUUCGGGGUGAAGAUAAAGUGGAUUAGCGGCGGACGGGUGAGUAACACGUGAGUAACCUGCCUUAGACAUUGGGAUAGCCUCGGGAAACCGGGAUUAAUACCAAAUAAAAUCAUAAUGACACAUGUCAUAACGAUCAAAACUCCGGUGGUCUAAGAUGGACUCGCGUCCCAUUAGCUAGUUGGUAGAGUAAAAGCCUACCAAGGCGACGAUGGGUAGCCGGCCUGAGAGGGUGAACGGCCACAUUGGAACUGAGAAACGGUCCAAACUCCUACGGGAGGCAGCAGUGGGGAAUAUUGCACAAUGGGAGGGAACUCUGAUGCAGCGACGCCGCGUGAACGAAGAAGGCUUUCGAGUCGUAAAGUUCUUUUAUAUGGGAAGAUAAUGACGGUACCUAAGAAAAAGCCCGGCUAACUACGUGCCAGCAGCCGCGGGUAAUACGUAGGGGGCUAGCGUUGUCCCGAAUCACUGGGGCGUAAAGGGUUCGCAGGCGGAAAUGCAAGUCAGAUGUAAAAGGCAGUAGCUUUACUACUGUAAGCAUUUGAAACUGCAUAUCUUGAGAAGAGUAGAGGUAAGUGGGAUUUUUAGUGUAGCGGUGAAAUGCGUAAAUUUUAAAAAGAAUACCCGUUGGCGAAAGCGACUUACUGGGCUCAUUCUGACGCUGAAGAACGAAACGUGGGGUAGCA